rnacentral:rRNA from 1 species
AACGAACGCUGGCGGCAUGCCUAACACAUGCAAGUCGAACGAGACCUUCGGGUCUAGUGGCGCACGGGUGCGUAACGCGUGGGAACCUGCCCUUAGGUUCGGAAUAACUCCCCGAAAGGGGUGCUAAUACCGGAGAAUGUCUUCGGACCAAAGAUUUAUCGCCUUUGGAUGGGCCCGCGUUGGAUUAGCUAGUUGGUAGGGUAAAAGCCUACCAAGGCGACGAUCCAUAGCUGGUCUGAGAGGAUGAUCAGCCACACUGGGACUGCGACACGGCCCAGACUCCUACGGGAGGCAGCAGUGGAGAAUAUUGGACACUGGGCGAAAGCCUGAUCCAGCCAUGCCGCGUGAGUGAUGAAGGCCUUAGGGUUGUACAGCUCUUUUACCCGGGAUGAUAAUGACAGUACCGGGAGAAUAAGCUCCGGCUAACUCCGUG